UUCGGUUAAAAAGCUCGUAGUUGGAUUUCUGUUGAGGUCGGGCGGUGUACACUUCGUGUAUUAUUUGCUUCGGUCUCGGCAUCCUCUUGGGGAACGUCAGGACUUCAUUGGACUGGCGAGAUUCAAGACUUUUACUUUGAGGAAAUUAGAGUGUUCACGGCAGGCAAGUGCUUUGAAUACAUUAGCAUGGAAUAAUAAUAUAGGACCUUCGUUCUAUUUUGUUGGUUUCUAGAACUUAGGUAAUGAUUAAUAGGGACAAUUGGGGGCAUUCGUAUUAACGCGUCAGAGGUGGAAUUCUUGGAUUGCGUUACGACGAACUACUGCGAAAGCAUUUGCCAAAGAUGUUUUCAUUGAUCAAGAACGAAAGUAUGGGGAUCGAAGACGCUUAGAUACCGUCGUAGUCUAUACCGUAAACUAUGCCAACUAGGGAUUGGACGGGUUAUCCUAUGUGGCUCGUUCAGCACCUUAUGAGAAAUCAAAGUUUUUGGGUUCCGGGGGGAGUAUGGUCGCAAGGCUGAAACUUAAAGGAAUUGACGGAAGGGCACCACCAGGAGUGGAGCCUGCGGCUUAAUUUGACUCAACACGGGAAAA
rnacentral:rRNA from 1 species